rnacentral:lncRNA from 1 species
GCAGUUUUAAGCCACAGGCUUUCAAAUGGAUCUGAGGCACCCAUUGCCUAUUUUUCAAGAACAUUCUCUGCUGCUGAGAGAAAUUACAGCCAGAUCGAUAAGGAGGCUUUGGCAGCUGUAGCUGCUGUAAAAAAGUUCCAUGAGUUUCUCUAUGGCCAUUUUUUUGAACUGGUAACUGACCACAAACCUUUGUUAGGGCUGUUAGCUGGAGACAAACCCCACAGGUACUGUCCCCGAGAAUGACCAGGUGGACACAUUUUUUGGCCGCUUAUUCAUACACCUUGAUUCAUCGUCCUGGAAUUAACCUGAGCCACGCAGAUGCCCUCAGCAGGUGCCCCCUGCCUACACCAGUCGAGGACCCAGCUCCCAUCCACUCAAUCUUCGAGUGCACGGGACUGGACCUCCCACUUUCAGCCGGGGAUGUUGCUGCGCACUCAAAAAAAGACCCAUUGAUUUCCCAGGUCCUGGACUGGGUGGGGAGGGGGUGGCCAGAUAUACAUUUUGCCCCUGAUUUAAUUCCCUUUAAGAUUCGCAAGCAGGAGUUGUCUGCAAUACAGGGCUGUCUGUUAUGGGGGACAAGGGUGGUCAUUCCUGCCUCCUUGCAAGAGCCAGUUCUAAAAACACUGCACGAGGGUCAUCCGGGCAUGGUACGGAUGAAGGCCUUGGCCCGCAGCUACGUUUGGUGGCCUGGACUAGAUGCCCAAAUUGCCAGUUGGGUCAACGCAUGCCAGGCCUGCCAGGCGACAAGAGCAGCUCCACCCAUAGCUACACCCACCAGGUGGGAAGAUGCAGGGGCACCCUGGGCCAGGCUACAUAUUGACCUAGCUGGCCCUAUGAUGGGGAAAACAUUCUUGGUGGUAGUGGACUCGUUUUCAAAAUGGACUGAAGUAGCCGUGCUGUCUUCCACCACAACUCAAGCCAUCACUAGGGUUUUGACCAGACUGUUUGCUACUCAUGGACUGCCAGACACCUUGGUGUCAGAUAACGGGCCUCAAUUCAGCUCAAACGAAUUUGCCAUCUUCGCUGCCAACCUGGGCAUCAGGCAUGCCCUUACAGCCCCUUUUCACCCCGCCAGUAAUGGGAUGGCAGAGAGGGCUGUUAGGUCAGCCAAGGAAGUUUUGGCCAAACUGAGGCAGGCAGACUGGCACUCCAAGCUGUCCACUUACCUACUCACGCAACACGCCACACCAUGCC